AGGAGGCAGGGGUAUGAUCUGCCCUUCACAGUUCUCCGGGGGGUUCAUCUGGGACUCCCUGCCACGGUGCCUCCAGGUGGCCCUUCCAUGUGGUCUGGGCUCUCACAGCCUGGUGGCUUAUUGCUAAGUGCAAGCAUUCUAAGAGACAAGAUGCAGAACAGCCAGUCUGAAAUCCUAGGUGUGGACAGUAGCACGACAUCACUUUGUUAUGAUUUCUGUUAUGAUUUGUUGUUUAAAGCAGUCAGGGAGCCCAACCAGAUUCAGUGUGGGAGACAGGAAGAGCAUGUGAAAAAUGCCAUCCUCCUGAAUUCACCAGGAUCCACUCUCUCACUGCAGAUUAUUAGUAUAUGUACAUAUUUCCCACACGCAAAAUGUGCACUGCCCUUGCCCUCCACAUCACUUCCUAAGCCCUCCUUUCCACCUAAGUUUCACUUGUACCAUGAUGGCUUCAAGUCCAAGUUCAAGGGUCAAGGUUUUAUGAUCUAAAUGAGGCCCAGGUGUGGAUGAGGCUCCUUGAGUGUGGGCCCUCUCUAUUUGAAAACCUGUGAACCAAAGAGACACGUUAUCUACGCACACAGACUAGACAUAUUAACACAAUGUUGGACAGGCAAAUCAAAACCACAAAUGACAUUCCCGUUCAAAAGUGAGGAAGAUGGGAGGUGCAUGAUGCCAGUCACUCGUCCACAGCAGUUAUCAAAUCCAGCUGGGCACGUACUGCCAGUUCUUUGAAUUAUUCUGCUUCCUGGGAAUGAUUUUUCAUGGUUCGUGGCUCUGGGCCCGGGUUUCUCCUUUCUUCCUUCAAGCCAUCUUUCUUUUUCCAUAAUACAUAGACCGUUCACAUCUGAAUGUUUCUACUACUUUCUUUCUGCCCAUUGUAGUUUGGGGAGGGGGUAAUCCAAUUCCCACUGUUUCCUACAGUUCAAGCUGAUAUAAUUCUUUUAAAAAUGUCAUAGGUUCCUUGUGUAUCACAUUAUUUUAAUAGUACACUUCACCAGACGAGAGUACAUAGCCUCUUCAUUUGAGCCAAGUCAGGAUGCUCUGGGAAAGCACCCUUAAGAUCUCAGAAGAUUGUUGCUUAAUUAGAAGAAUCCUUGAGACAUCUCAAUUUUUAACAGUACCCACUAUUAAAGAGAAAAAAAUCUGUUUGUAAUCUCUGAGUAAUGGCCUUCAGAUUAUUAGAAGCCUUGCUAAGUAUACACAUAAAAUAUUCUGAGGGUCCAUCUGGAGGUCGUACAGCCACACUGUUAAGGUCUUUACACUGAGACCAUGCUUCACCAGAUUUAAUGUUCAUCCUGAGGUCAUUCCGUAUUUUUUGAGUCUUUUGCAACUGGAUCAACUUGGAGUAAGAAUUUGUUUAAUUUUCUUUCUUUUUUAAUUGUUAAAUUUUUUAAAUUGAAAUUUAGUUGACUUACAAUGUUGGGUUAAUUUCUAGUGUACAGUAAAGUGAUUCAGUUAUAUAUGUGUGUGUGUGUGUGUGUGUCUAUACAUAUAUUAGGGCUUCCCUGGUGUCCUAAGAUCAUGGCAUCCGGUCCCGUCACUUCAUGGCAAAUAGAUGGGGGAAC
rnacentral:lncRNA from 1 species